ACGCUCGACACCUACGGGAGGCAGCAGUGGGGAAUAUUGCACAAUGGGGGAAACCCUGAUGCAGCGACGCCGCGUGAGCGAAGAAGUAUUUCGGUAUGUAAAGCUCUAUCAGCAGGGAANAAACUGACGGUACCUGACUAAGAAGCACCGGCUAAAUACGUACCAGCAGCCGCGGUAAUCUGAGCGGGCUGGCAAGGC
rnacentral:rRNA from 1 species